CUGUUUUCAGAUUUUUUUCCCUUCUCUGAGCGUAUCUACUACAGCUGUUUUUUAUCACUUUCUGCUGUUUGAUUGUUCAUUUGCGAGCUCAUAUAGAUUUAUAUUUUCUGUAAUUUUUGUGUUUCCUGUUAUGGGCUUCGAUGUUUUUUAAUUUUGAUUGAUUGCUUUUUAUUUUAUGUGAAUUCAUUGCUGAAUUUUGUUAGGGUUUUAUUGGGGUUUUAAUCCAUGGUUUUGGUUGCUGCUGGAGUUUGUCCUUUAAUGGGGUUUUAACCUUUUUUGGGUGGCUCAGGUAUGCCUCUUGGAUUGUUCUAACACGGUUAUACGUUUCGCUUAUGGUGGAUAGCUGGUAGCAGCAUAUGAUGCCCAAGUGAAUAAAAUUUUACAUGGAUAUUGGAGAUAAAAUACAAGGAUAAAUGGGAGGUUGCUGCUGUUGUUCUUCCAAGGAAGCUGAACUAAAUAGUGCGCCGCCUUAUUAUUAUUACUCCAGAGCAUCAGAAGAGCAUGUCCCACUAUCAUCCCGUCAUGGUGCUGCGUCUGCACUCCCCUUGGGACUCUUGGUUGAUACAAACCUUGACACGUCAGUCCCUGAUGCUUACAGGCCGCCUCCUCCACCUAUGCCAUUUGAUGUGGCUCUAGGACAUUCUCCAACUCCUCAAGGGGCUCAGGAAACUUCCAGUGAUAAAGAUGAUGGAACAGUGCAAACAACAAAUUCUGAUUCUGUUCAAGAAACAACUGGCAUGAAUACUCGAGAAACAUUGGCCAAGUGUGAAGAUAUGAAGGAGUCAGACUGUAAAGCACAGACUAAUUUAGAACUUGAUUCAGCAAAGGAGCUAGAAGUUGAGCUCCCAAAGUCGGUUGAACCCCUUGUUUCAGCAACAGAGGAGGAUGAUUGUUGUCCCAUCUGUCUGGAAGAGUAUGAUGCAGAGAAUCCAAAAAUUACCACAAAAUGUGAGCACCAUUUUCACCUUGCAUGCAUUCUUGAAUGGAUGGAAAGAAGCGACACCUGUCCUGUUUGUGAUAAGGAAAUGAUAAUCGACCCUCCUAUUGAUUAGUAGUUAUGCAGAAAUUUCAACUAUGGUCAAAUGCAGAAGAUUUAUUUGUUCUUUAGCAUCCACUGUUAGUGGUUGCCACAGAUGCGUAUGCAGCUGUUCCUGUUACUUUUGAAGAGUCAGUGCCAAUAUGCUUAUUGCCUUUGCGCUAAAAACUCUUUCAAACACAUACAAUUUGAAAAGCAAAUGAAAGAAAAGGGAGGAGGAUGGGGAGUUGGACG
rnacentral:misc_RNA from 1 species